UGGGGAAUAUUGCGCAAUGGCCGAAAGGCUGACGCAGCGACGCCGCGUGUGGGAUGACGGCCCUCGGGUUGUAAACCACUGUCGGAAGGGACGAAUGCCCCGCAAGGGGAGCGACGGUACCUUCAAAGGAAGCACCGGCUAACUCCGUGCCAGCAGCCGCGGUAAUACGGAGGGUGCGAGCGUUGUCCGGAAUCACUGGGCGUAAAGGGCGCGUAGGCGGCCCGGUAAGUAGGGGGUGAAAUCUUGCGGCUCAACCGCAAGGCUGCCUCCUAGACUGCCAGGCUCGAGCACAGUAGAGGCAGGUGGAAUUCCCGGUGUAGCGGUGGAAUGCGUAGAGAUCGGGAAGAACAUCAGUGGCGAAGGCGGCCUGCUGGGCUGUUGCUGACGCUGAGGCGCGACAGCGUGGGGAGCAAACAGGAUUAGAUACCCUGGUAGUCCACGCCGUAAACGAUGGGCACUAGGCGUCGGGGGGAGCGACCCUCCCGGUGCCGUCGCUAACGC
rnacentral:rRNA from 1 species